AGGAGACAAGACACAAAGCUUUGGUUACCCAGUUCCCUUACGGUACGUCUGGGGGAAGAACUACGCUUCCAAUCCACUAUCUCAAGUAUAAAGAGAGUAAUACAAGAGAUGAUUUGUCAAGCUACUACAAGACCGUAGCUAGACCAAGAACUAACACCCUUAGUUCUUCUAAAACAGACUGCUCCACCUAUCAGGUACAAAACGGAAUACCCUAGCCGUCAUGGGCUUGAGCUCUUGUUACUUCAACUCUUUGUUAUGGGCUUUAGACUUAGGCCCACUGAAGUGAGGAAUAGAGACAACAGCCCGACAAACUCCACCUUUGUCUCUGUCCGAGUCUUUGCGAAACCUCCUCAAUCUCUUUCUUCGCCGACUCCUUCUCUCUCUCUCAAAUCGGAACUUAUUCCCGGUGAAUCUCUACCGAUUCUCCUCUAUAACUCUUCCGAGUACUCACUCUUUGUUUCUUUAGCUUCUCAUCACUCAUGCAACCGUUGAUGUGAGCUAUUUCCUCUGAAAUGAAAACUUCAGCUCGCGACUUUUACUAGCCACUUAAUUCAGUGACAAGUCCGAUCUACUCCACCGCAGACCCUUUCACCAGUACCUGAUUUCGCUUCUAUUAGAAAACCAUUAAGAGCUAAGCAACAUCGAGAUUCGUCGACUAAUCUCUCGUUUGUACGCUCUCAAGUUGAAGACUUUUCCAAGCUUCGAUCUUCAUUCUUCAGCUUACCAACCAAUCUCUGUUUGUCGAAGACAUCAAGAUCCAACUUCAAGUCAUCUUUCUGUGAGGUAACCUUAUCGUAGCAGUAGUGUGUCAACCCUAGUGAAAACCCGUAAGGAUUGACACUGCUAAAACCAAUAAGUUACUUGCGUUAAGAAUACCAUUAAUCUCUAAGAAAACCAUAGAAUAUCCUUAAUAAAAAAAAACCUUUAUCCUGCUGAUACCGUAGAUAAAUCUCCUUUCAAACUUUACCAUUUGAUAGUUCUGUGUGUUGAUUUCCUGUUACCGAUACUAAUCAACCUUAGUAUCCGUUUGUAUCCCUUUUGCGAGGUCCUUCAAUCAACCAAACCAGGAACCUCGGGAUGCUUCAUGUCUACUACCGGAUUACCUUGAGAAGUCCGAGACACUUCUCGAAACUCUUCCCAGGAGACAAGACACAAAGCUUUGGUUACCCAGUUCCCUUACGGUACGUCUGGGGGAAGAACUACGCUUCCAAUCCACUAUCUCAAGUAUAAAGAGAGUAAUACAAGAGAUGAUUUGUCAAGCUACUACAAGACCGUAGCUAGACCAAGAACUAACACCCUUAGUUCUUCUAAAACAGACUGCUC